ensembl:rRNA 5S_rRNA 5S ribosomal RNA
UCUACGUCCCAUACCACCCUGAAAGUGCCUGGUCUUGUCUGAUCUCAGAAGCUAAGCAGGGUUGGGGCCAGGUUAGGACUUGGAU